CUUCGAGUCAGUUUGUUGUUUGCGUAUUUGUGAUGAAUAGUGUACAAUCUUCUCUUCAUAAAAAUGCCUUGUAAAAUAUUGAUGGUUUAACGGAAUUAUCGCUUCAUUCUGCAUUAUCUACUAAUAAAGGUCUUCCGGCUCGUCUGUCGUUUCACCUUGUCAUUCAGUUGUGUUCGGUCCUCCAGCAGACGGUGUACGAUGUACCACCAUUUUUGCUGUCUAUAAAUGGAAACGACGCCUGCUUGCUUUGAGAUUACAUCCUUGGAUUCGAUGGACAAACAGUACUUCCAGAUUUGUGGCAAUCAGACAUAUUUUUAUUUCCAAGUAUGCCCCUAAUGAGCUGGUCAAAAAAUUCAUAGGAUACAGGG